UACGUAGGGUGCGAGCGUUGUCCGGAAUUAUUGGGCGUAAAGAGCUCGUAGGCGGUCUGUCGCGUCGGCUGUGAAAACUCGGGGCUCAGCCCCGAGCCUGCAGUCGAUACGGGCAGACUAGAGUGCUGUAGGGGAGACUGGAAUUCCUGGUGUAGCGGUGAAAUGCGCAGAUAUCAGGAGGAACACCGGUGGCGAAGGCGGGUCUCUGGGCAGUAACUGACGCUGAGGAGCGAAAGCGUGGGGAGCGAACAGG
rnacentral:rRNA from 1 species